rnacentral:lncRNA from 1 species
CAUAAUUUUAGUUUGAUUCGUAUAUAUGGCAAAAUCUGAGUGUUUGUACGAUAAAAAUAUACGAAACUUGCGAAGGAACUGAUUUUAUUUCUAUGAUUUGAAUGGCACUGGGAACCAACCUAUAUGAAUUGGUGUAUAUGAUUGAACAAAUAGUUAUUCUUAUUGUUUGAGUGGAAUCUUUCGUAUUGUUAUAAAAGAAAGAUAGAAAAAAUGGGAAGAAAGUUUGAAGAGAAAAUAAAAGUACUUUUUCUUAGUCUUAGAUACACGUUUUUGAGAGUGCUAAUAGCAAUAUUAGGAGAUUGAUAAUUUCCUAAGUACUAAAUCCAUGUGAAUUGUAUUUCCUAUUUAUAUUAUAUUAUUAUUGAUUAAAAUAAGCAUAAUAUUUUAUGUAUUAAGCAAUGA